rnacentral:rRNA from 1 species
GACGAACCGUGCGAACGUUGUUCGGAAUCACUGGGCUUAAAGGGCGCGCAGGCGGCUUGUCAAGUCAGGGGUGAAAUCCUGCAGCUCAACUGUAGAAGUGCCUUUGAUACUGGCGAGCUCGAGGGAGGUAGGGGUGGGUGGAACUUCCGGUGGAGCGGUGAAAUGCGUUGAUAUCGGAAGGAACGCCGGUGGCGAAAGCGACCCACUGGAUCUCUACUGACGCUGAGGCGCGAAAGCCAGGGGAGCAAACGGG